UACGUAGGGGGCAAGCGUUGUCCGGAUUUAUUGGGCGUAAAGAGCUCGUAGGCGGUUUGGUAAGUCUGGUGUGAAAUCUCCACGCUCAACGUGGAGGGGCCACCCGAUACUGCCAUGACUGGAGUCCGGUAGAGGAGUGUGGAAUUCCCGGUGUAGCGGUGAAAUGCGUAGAGAUCGGGAGGAACACCAGAGGCGAAGGCGGCCCACUGGGUCUUUUCUGACGCUGAGGGACGAAAGCUAGGGGAGCGAACGGG
rnacentral:rRNA from 1 species